CACCUGUUUAUCAAAAACAUGUCUUUAAGAUUUAUAUUUAAAGUCUAACCUGCUCAAUGAAUUUUAAAUAGCCGCAGUAUUUUAACUGUGUAAAGGUAGCAUAAUAAUUAGUCUUUUAAUUGAGGUCUGGAAUGAAUGGUUGAAUGAGAAACUUGUUUUAUUAAAUAAAUUUUUUUGAAUUUAAGUUUCUAGUUAAAAUUCUAGAAUAAUUAAGAGGGACGAUAAGACCCUAUAGAUCUUAAUAAUAUAAAUAAUUAAUAAAAUUUUAGAUUAUAUAUUGGUAAUUUUUUUUUUUAUUUUGUUGGGGUGAUAGCUAAAAUUUUAAACUUUAGUUUUUUUUAACAAUAAUUUUUGUGUAAUUUGAUCUUUUAUUUUGAUUAUAAGAUAAAGAUACCUUAGGGAUAACAGCGUUAUUCAUUUGAAGAGUCCAUAUCUGUAAAUGAGUUUGCGACCUCGAUGUUGGAUUAAAAUAAAUUUGUGGGGUAGGUUCUACAAUUUUAGGUCUGUUCGACC
rnacentral:rRNA from 1 species